rnacentral:rRNA from 1 species
UACGUAGGGUGCGAGCGUUGUCCGGAAUUAUUGGGCGUAAAGAGCUCGUAGGCGGCUUGUCGCGUCGACCGUGAAAACUUGGGGCUCAACCCCAAGCCUGCGGUCGAUACGGGCAGGCUCGAGUUCGGUAGGGGAGACUGGAAUUCCUGGUGUAGCGGUGAAAUGCGCAGAUAUCAGGAGGAACACCGAUGGCGAAGGCAGGUCUCUGGGGCGAUACUGACGCUGAGGAGCGAAAGCGUGGGGAGCGAACAGG